rnacentral:rRNA from 1 species
GAUUGUUCACCCACCAAUAGGGAACGUGAGCUUGGUUUAGACCGUCAUGAGAUAGGUCAGUUUUACCCUACUAAUGACAGUAUCACAAUAGUAAUUCAACCUAGUACGAGAGGACCCGUUGAUUCGCACAAUUGGUCAUCGCGCUUGGUUGAAAAGCCAAUGGCACAAAGCUACCGUGCGCUGGAUUAUGAUUGAACGCCUCUAAGUCAAAAUCCGGGCUAGAAGCGACGCAUACGCUCGUUGCCCGCUUGCCGACCCGCAGUAGGGGUCGUCUGGCCCCCAAAGGCAUGUGGCGUUGGUGAACCACCACGCGGGCCACCUUGAAGUACAAUUCCGAUCUCGAGCAGCGGGUAGAAUCCUUUAUAGACAACUUAAAUACGCGACGGGGUAUUGUAAGUGGUAGAGUGGCCUUGCUACCACGAUCCACUGAGAU